UCACGACAAGUCUUCUCAGUGUUUUGAAAGAACAGUGCCUAAGGAAUGAGAAAGUUUUGACAAAUUUUCUUCGAUUUCUUUCAGACAAGAUUGCAUAUCGAAGUUCUGAAUUACGUGAUUAUAUGAGUUACAAUUGUUUCGAGACAUUUAUAUCAGUUGAUUCCAUUUCUAACUGUUAAGAACAU